rnacentral:rRNA from 1 species
UACGUAGGGGGCGAGCGUUGUCCGAAGUUACUGGGCGUAAAGCGCACGCAGGCGGUCUGCUAAGUUUGGAGUGACAGUUGGUGGCUUAACUGCCAAAGUGCUUCGAAAACUGACAGACUUGAGGGCUUCAGAGGGACACGGAAUUCCGGGUGGAGUGGUGAAAUGCGUAGAGAUCCGGAGGAACACCAAAGGCGAAGGCAGUGUCCUGGGGAGUACCUGACGCUCAGGUGCGAAAGCCAGGGGAGCGAACGGG